GUUAAAACACCAGUUCCCGUAAGAUCACCGAAGUUAAGUAACGCUGUGCCUGGUCAGUAACUAGCUGGGUGCCCGCUUGGGCAU